GGAAGGCUCCAGAGCUUGGACCCAAAUGAUCUAGUUGGUGGUACAGAGAUUGGACCAGAAUGGUGUGAGGUAAACGUUCAAGUACCAAUAAAAAAGAUGAAAAUUUGGUAAGACCAUAUGGUUUAUUUUCUACAAUUCAAGAUUGUAUUGGUGCAUCUAUCACAUGGCCCUAUCCAUUCAUCUCGGUAGUCCAUGAGGAUUGAGGACGCAUGAUGACUCAAGAUUUUAUGCUUCUUAUUUCUUUAAUUGCUUUUAAUUUCUUUGUUAAAUGUUAAGACCUUAUGUUAGAUAAUGUUAUAACUUAUUUAUGGUUAGUGUUUUUGUUAUGAACAAGCUUAUUUGAAAUAUAAUAAAGUUUUAUUUCUUUCAUUA